GAUGAAGAACGUAGCGAAAUGCGAUAAGUAAUGUGAAUUGCAGAAUUCAGUGAAUCAUCGAAUCUUUGAACGCACAUUGCGCCCGCCAGUAUUCUGGCGGGCAUGCCUGUCUGAGCGUCAUUUCAACCCUCAUGCCCCUAGGGCGUGGUGUUGGGGAUCGGCCAAAGCCCGCGAGGGACGGCCGGCCCCUAAAUCUAGUGGCGGACCCGUCGUGGCCUCCUCUGCGAAGUAGUGAUAUUCCGCAUCGGAGAGCGAUGAGCCCCUGCCGUUAAACCCCCAACUUUCCAAGGUUGACCUCAGAUCAGGUAGGAAUACCCGCUGAACUUAAGCAUAUCAAUAAGCGGGGGA
rnacentral:misc_RNA from 1 species